rnacentral:misc_RNA from 1 species
GAAUCAUCUCUUUCUACAGUUAGUUUCUUGAUUCUCUACAUUUAUAGGAGAUACGUUACAUUUGUGAAAAACGCGACUUGCCUUGUAACAGAUGAUACAUCCAUUUUGCAUUGAUAUUAUUGCCGAUUCACUAUGGUUUGUGGCUUACUUUCUGAAUUGCCCAAUAUAGUAUUGAUCCCUUCAAAAUUUCAUUACAUAUUAGCCGAUAUGACA